AUAAGCAAUUAUACGGCGAAACUGCGAAUGGCUCAUUAUAUAAGUUAUCGUUUAUUUGAUAGUACCUUACUACUUGGAUAACCGUGGUAAUUCUAGAGCUAAUACAUGCGCAAAACCCCGACUCCGGAAGGGGUGUAUUUAUUAGAUUAAAAGCCAACGCCCUCCGGGGCUUCUUGGUGAUUCAUGAUAACUCCUCGAAUCGCACGGCCUUGCGCCGGCGAUGGUUCAUUCAAAUUUCUUCCCUAUCAACUUUCGAUGUUUGGGUAUUGGCCAAACAUGGUUGCAACGGGUAACGGAGGGUUAGGGCUCGACCCCGGAGAAGGAGCCUGAGAAACGGCUACUACAUCCAAGGAAGGCAGCAGGCGCGCAAAUUACCCAAUCCCGACACGGGGAGGUAGUGACAAUAAAUACUGAUACAGGGCUCUUUCGGGUCUUGUAAUUGGAAUGAGUACAAUUUAAAUCCCUUAACGAGGAACAAUUGGAGGGCAAGUCUGGUGCCAGCAGCCGCGGUAAUUCCAGCU
rnacentral:rRNA from 1 species